rnacentral:rRNA from 1 species
CUGUUGGGUAGGGGAGCGUUGUGUAAGCGGAAGAAGGUUCAUCGAGAGGUGGGCUGGACGUAUCACAAGUGCGAAUGCUGACAUAAGUAACGAUAAAACGGGUGAAAAACCCGUUCGCCGGAAGACCAAGGGUUCCUGUCCAACGUUAAUCGGGGCAGGGUGAGUCGGCUCCUAAGGCGAGGCUGAAAAGCGUAGUCGAUGGGAAACAGGUUAAUAUUCCUGUACUUGGUAAAGCUGCGAUGUGGGGACGGAGUAGGUUAGGUUAUCGCACUGUUGGAUAUGUGCGUUUAAGUUGGUAGGUGGGAAGUUUAGGCAAAUCCGGACUUCCUUAACACAGAGAGAUGAUGACGAGGCUCUACGGAGCUGAAGUAACUGAUACCACACUUCCAGGAAAAGCCACUAAGCGAAAGGCUUUACUAAACCGUACUGAAAACCGACACAGGUGGUCAGGUAGAGAAUACUCAGGCGCUUGAGAGAACUCGGGUGAAGGAACUAGGCAAAAUAGCACCGUAACUUCGGGAGAAGGUGCGCCGGCGUAGAUUGUAAGGGCUAGCCCCUGAAGGUUGAACCGGUCGAAGAUACCAGCUGGCUGCAACUGUUUAUUAAAAACACAGCACUCUGCAAACACGAAAGUGGAGGUAUAGGGUGUGAUGCCUGCCCGGUGCUGGAAGGUUAAUUGAUGGUGUAAUCGCAAGAGAAGCACCUGAUCGAAGCCCCAGUAAACGGCGGCCGUAACUAUAACGGUCCUAAGGUAGCGAAAUUCCUUGUCGGGUAAGUUCCGACCUGCACGAAUGGCAUAAUGAUGGCCAGGCUGUCUCCACCCGAGACUCAGUGAAAUUGAAAUCGCCGUGAAGAUGCGGUGUACCCGCGGCUAGACGGAAAGACCCCGUGAACCUUUACUAUAGCUUGACACUGAACAUUGAAUUUUGAUGUGUAGGAUAGGUGGGAGACUUAGAAGUAGUCACGCCAGUGAUUAUGGAGUCGACCUUGAAAUACCACCCUUUAACGUUUGAUGUUCUAACGAAGAUGACGAAACGUGGUCUCGGACAGUGUCUGGUGGGUAGUUUGACUGGGGCGGUCUCCUCCCAAAGCGUAACGGAGGAGCACGAAGGUUUGCUAAUCACGGUCGGACAUCGUGAGGUUAGUGCAAUGGUAUAAGCAAGCUUAACUGCGAGACAGACAAGUCGAGCAGGUACGAAAGUAGGUCAUAGUGAUCCGGUGGUUCUGAAUGGAAGGGCCAUCGCUCAACGGAUAAAAGGUACUCCGGGGAUAACAGGCUGAUACCGCCCAAGAGUUCAUAUCGACGGCGGUGUUUGGCACCUCGAUGUCGGCUCAUCACAUCCUGGGGCUGAAGUAGGUCCCAAGGGUAUGGCUGUUCGCCAUUUAAAGUGGUACGCGAGCUGGGUUUAGAACGUCGUGAGACAGUUCGGUCCCUAUCUGCCGUGGGCGUAGGA